rnacentral:rRNA from 1 species
AGAAUUUGAUCCUGGCUCAGAACGAACGCUGGCGGCGUGCUUAACACAUGCAAGUCGAGUGCGCGCCUGUAGCAAUACAGGUGGCGCACGGCGCACGGGUGCGUAACACGUGGGCAAUCUGCCCUCUGAUGGGGAAUAACCCGCCGAAAGGCGGGCUAAUACCGCAUAACAUUCCUUGGACUCAUGUUCGAGGAUUCAAAGGCGUAAGUCGUCGGAGGAGGAGCCCGCGCACGAUUAGCUAGUUGGUAGGGUAACGGCCUACCAAGGCUUUGAUCGUUAGCUGGUCUUAGAGGAUGGCCAGCCACACUGGAACUGAGACACGGUCCAGACUCCUACGGGAGGCAGCAGUGGGGAAUCUUGCACAAUGGGCGAGAGCCUGAUGCAGCGACGCCGCGUGGGGGAUGAAGCAUUUCGGUGUGUAAACCCCUUUCGAUCCGGACGAAUACCUCGCAAGAGGGGUGACGGUACGGAUAUAAGAAGCCCCGGCUAACUACGUGCCAGCAGCCGCGGUAAGACGUAGGGGGCCAGCGUUGUUCGGAAUUACUGGGUGUAAAGGGUUCGUAGGCGGUGUGGCAAGUUGGGAGUGAAAUCUCUGGGCUUAACCCAGAGGCUGCUUCCAAAACUGCUGUGCUUGAGUGUGAGAGAGGCUCGUGGAAUUGCAGGUGUAGCGGUGAAAUGCGUAGAUAUCUGCAGGAACACCCGUGGCGAAAGCGGCGAGCUGGAUCACUACUGACGCUGAGGAACGAAAGCUAGGGGAGCAAACAGGAUUAGAUACCCUGGUAGUCCUAGCCCUAAACGAUCGGGACUUGGGGUGCCACCCGUUCGGGUGUCGUCCCGGAGCUAACGCGUUAAGUCCUGCACCUGGGGAGUACGGUCGCAAGACUGAAACUCAAAGGAAUUGACGGGGGCCCGCACAAGCGGUGGAACAUGUGGUUCAAUUCGACGCUACGCGAGGAACCUUACCUGGGCUCGAAAUGCUGGUGACCAGCUGUAGAAAAAACGGCCUUUCCCGCAAGGACACCAGUAUAGGCGCUGA